rnacentral:rRNA from 1 species
AUUUUUUGUCCAUGGUGGCAAACAUUAACCAGCCAUGCAGCGUGCAGGAUGACGGUCUUAUGGAUUGUAAUCUGUUUUUGUAUAGGAAGAAAAUGAGAUUCGUGUAGCUUAUCGACGGUACUGUAUGAAUAUGGUUCGGCUAAUUCCGUGCAAGCAGCCGCGGUACUACUGAGGAUUCAAGCGUUCUACGGAACCAUUGGGUUUAAAGGGUCCGUAUGCGGUCUUAUAAAGCAGCGGGGAAAGAUUUUGGCUUAACCAAAAAAUGGCCGUUGAUACUGUAGGACUUGAAUUUUUGUUAAGGAAAUAGAAUAUGUAGUGUAUCGGUGAAAUGCUUAGAUAUUACAUGGAAUACCGAUUGCGAAGGCAGGUUAAUAACAAACGAUUUGCGCUGAGGGACAAAAGCGUGGGUAGCGAACAG